UACAGAGGUCCCAAGCGUUGUUCGGAUUCACUGGGCGUAAAGGGUGCGUAGGCGGUCGGGUAAGUCUGAUGUGAAAUCUCUGAGCUUAACUCAGAAACUGCCAUGGAUACUAUUUGUCUUGAAUAUUGCGGAGGUAAGCGGAAUAUGUCAUGUAGUGGUGAAAUGCUUAGAUAUGACAUAGAACACCAAUUGCGAAGGCAGCUUACUACACAGUCAUUGACGCUGAGGCACGAAAGCGUGGGGAUCAAACAGG
rnacentral:rRNA from 1 species